UCGGGCAGUGGCAGGGUCUCCUUGCGCGCGCCGAUCUCGUUGACGGCGGGCCUUCCCGGGUUCGGAAGCGUGGUGGGGUCCAUGUGCCCCGCC
rnacentral:tRNA from 1 species